GUAAGUGAGAAGACAGAGGGAAGCCCAGGGGCCUGUGGCAGCCCAGAGGAGAGCUUACCCAUGAAGGCUUCUGUGAGGAGUUGUGUGAAGAAAGCGUGCUUUGGGCAGCCAGUGAUCUCAGAAUGAGAGGCAGAUGGAACAGACCUGAGCCUGAAAGACAGCCUGAGGCAGACCAUUUCCUGCCUCUCCAGCCUCCCUGCAGACUAUGAGCAAGACAAAUACUGUUUAGAAGCCAUCAAGAUUUUUAGUUGUUUGUUAUGCGGCAUUAUUACAGCAGUAGCUGACCAAUGCACCAAGAAUGACUGUAUGACCCAGCAAGUCCGCUUCAAGUCCCGACAGAAUCGCAAACAGGAACUCAAAUAGAUACUUGCUCACCCACGUCCAUUGCACCGCUAUUCCCAACAGCCAAGAGGCUGUGUCCACUGAGGGAUGAAGAAACAAAGUGUCCACUGAGGGAUGAAGAAACAAAGUAUCCAUAUAACGGACUUUGUGCAGCCUUAAAGAGGAAGGAAAUUCUGGCAUGUGCUACAACAGGGGCGGACCUUGAAGACAUUAUGCUGAGUGAAUAAGUCUGUAUGGCUCCACUUGUAGGAGGUAACAAGUUCAUAAAGACAGAAAGUGGAAUGGUCGUUGCCAAGAACUGGGGAGCGAGGGGAUGGGGAGUUACUGUGUAAUGGGCAUGACUUUCAGUUUUGUCAGAUGAAGGAAGUUCUGGAGAUGAGCAGGGGUGAUGGUUGCAUAACAGUGUGAGUGGACUUAACGCCACUGAACUGUACACUUAAAAACGGUGAGGAGCACC